rnacentral:rRNA from 1 species
UGCCAGCAGCCGCGGUAACACGUAUGUGGCAAGCGUUGUUCGGAAUCACUGGGCAUAAAGAGUUCGUAGGCGGAUUGAUUAGUUGGGUGUGAAAUCCCGGGGCUUACCCCCGGAACUGCAUUCAAUACUGUCAAUCUGGAGUCCUUCAGGGGUAAGUGGAAUUCCAUGUGUAGCGGUGAAAUGCGUAGAUAUAUGGGAGAACGCCAAUGGCGAAGGCAGCUUACUGGGGAGUGACUGACGCUGAGGAACGAAAGUUAGGGUAUCGAACGGGAUUAGAUA